AUGACUUGUGGACAGGUUGAUGCUAUGCUUCAGGAAUUGGAAAAGGAGAUUGAUGAUGUGGAUGCACAAGUCAGAAACCGCUGGCAACUGCUUGAUAGGCUGCCAAUGUAUUGGAUAGGCCUAGAUGAAGGAGCAAUCAUCAAGCCACCCGCUCAUCAGGUGGUGGAAUGCCUGCUUGGUGGCUUCCCAUUCAUUCGCAGGAAUCAUCAUGUUCAACUUGGUACUGAGUUGAUCCUGCAAGCCAAUGAAGAUUCAGACGAUGUGGUUGCUCUGGAGGCUUGUGACUCUGGUUUGUGUUCUGUUAACAUGCAAAAUCUGGCUCAGGCAGGUGAUUUCGGGAAGGAGCAGGAAGCUGCUGUAUUGGUGCUAUAG
rnacentral:rRNA from 1 species